rnacentral:lncRNA from 1 species
UAUCAAUAUGUCCAUAUCCUUCCAAAAUAAAUCGACUCAUUGAUUGAGCAUUACUUGUUGAGUUAUAAAUCAUUGAUGUAUCAGUUUACACGGUUUGUUGUGAUAACUCUCGAAGAAGUUGUAGUUUGGUUUUAUCUUUGUCUUCACCGGCACUGGGAUGAAAAUAGGAAUUUUGACAAUGAUGCUAAAAAAAAUAUGUAACAUUUCAACAGGUACUAAGAAAACAAUAUUUAGAACAAUUUACAUUAUCCUGAACAGAAUUAUUAAAUAUAAUGAAAAGGAAAGGUGAAAGUAAACAAACAGAUCUGUUAACCUUCUAUUUGUUCAUAUAUUAAAACAAUCCUCAACAGCUGUUUACCCAAAUUAAAUUAAACUAUUAAAAUCACGUGAAUAAUAAAAAAAAAUUUUUUUUUUUUGGAUCCAUGUGCAUGAGCGCUCCUCAUAUGUGAUAUAUGGACAUACGCACAUACAGACAUACAACACAAAACACAAGUGUGCACACGUAACAUAUAACACAUAAGACAAUAGUAAAGGCCUUGUAGCUUUACCUAGGUGAAAUCUCCAUUGCAAUGUUCAAAAACUCCACAGUCAAAAAAUAAAACUGAUCAGAAAAAACAUUAACCUAGGUCUGUAUGAGCUCAAAAAUAAAAUAGAACUUUAUGAUGUGGGAAAAAGCAAUAAUAAAAUAGAUAUUGAAAAAAGCAUCCUGGUUAAUCACUGUCGCAGAUGUAAGAAUAGCCAAGCUGGAGAUCUGG